rnacentral:rRNA from 1 species
UGGGGAAUAUUGGACAAUGGGCGCAAGCCUGAUCCAGCAAUGCCGCGUGGGUGAAGAAGGCCUUCGGGUUGUAAAGCCCUUUUGUACGGGAAGAAAAGCUUCGGGUUAAUAACCUGGGGUCAUGACGGUACCGUAAGAAUAAGCACCGGCUAACUUCGUGCCAGCAGCCGCGGUAAUACGAAGGGUGCAAGCGUUAAUCGGAAUUACUGGGCGUAAAGCGUGCGUAGGCGGUUUGUUAAGUCCGAUGUGAAAGCCCUGGGCUCAACCUGGGAAUGGCAUUGGAUACUGGCGAGCUAGAGUCAGGUAGAGGGUGGUGGAAUUCCCGGUGUAGCGGUGAAAUGCGUAGAGAUCGGGAGGAACAUCUGUGGCGAAGGCGGCCACCUGGACCAUGACUGACGCUGAGGCACGAAAGCGUGGGGAGCAAACAG